AUUAUUUUGGCAGAUUUAAGUGUAUUAAAUUUAGAAUUUAAUUAUUAUAAUUUUAUAUUAUAAAAUAAUA
rnacentral:tRNA from 1 species